GUGUCAGCCGCCGCGGUAAUACGGAGGGUGCGAGCGUUAAUCGGAAUUACUGGGCGUAAAACGCAUGCAGGCGGCCUGUUAAGUCAGAUGUGAAAGCCCGGGGCUUAACCUCGGAAUUGCAUUUGAAACUGGCAGGCUAGAGUCUUGUAGAGGGGGGUAGAAUUUCAGGUGUAGCGGUGAAAUGCGUAGAGAUCUGAAGGAAUACCAGUGGCGAAGGCGGCCCCCUGGACAAAGACUGACGCUCAGAUGCGAAAGCGUGGGGAGCAAACAGGAUUAGAUACCCCAGUAGUCC
rnacentral:rRNA from 1 species